rnacentral:rRNA from 1 species
CGGUAGCUAAAUGCGGAAGAGAUAAGUGCUGAAAGCAUCUAAGCACGAAACUUGCCCCGAGAUGAGUUCUCCCUGAGACUUUAAGUCUCCUGAAGGAACGUUAAAGACGAUGACGUUGAUAGGCCGGGUGUGUAAGCGCAGCGAUGCGUUGAGCUAACCGGUACUAAUGAACCGUGAGGCUUAACCUUACAACGCCGAAG